GUGUGUGUGUUCAUGAACGAGCAGGGAAAGCUCCCAUGGAGCCAAAACCCUAAACUUCAUCAAAAUCUCCAAAUUGAAAGGCUAAACGAAGCCCAAAUUCACAACCAAACAUGAAUUAACGAUCACCUUCACAAGGGGAUCAUAAGGAAUCAUGUCAAGAUGGAUGGGAGCGUUGAAGGCUAACGGGCUACGAAGACUCAAUCAAAUAAGCGAACGCAAAUACGGGCACGCAAGGUUGUACAGAACGGUGGAUUCUCAUCAUGAAGUGUAAAAGGUUGAAGAUCGAGUCAAGAGAUGGAUUGUACAUGUGGGUGCAUGGUCACGAAAUUUAAUAGUAGUAUGUCCGAUUUUUAAAAAUUUUUAGAAAGCAUUAGGUAGCGUUUGGUAUGAAUGAAUAGAAGGCGGAAUGGAAUGGAUCAUUCCGAUUGAAUAAAAAAAGACAUGUUUGGUAAUCACGUGGUAAUGGAAUGGAGCAUUCCACAAGGAAUGUAAACCUUCCAAAUAUAAAAAUUUUCAUUCAUUUGUAAUGUGGUGUUUUUUUUCCAUUC